CCCUGGCUCUUGCAGUGCUGCUAGCUAGCUAACUGCGUGGUCAACAGUCACCUCUGUUUCUUAAGCAGUGACAUAGGAGCUGGGGUUUGGAUGACAUCUGUAAUUGUUGCCAAGCUGUGUGGAAUCCUCUCCAACCUCAAGAUUCCGCUUCAGGAGGUCCGGGGUGGUGAUGCCCAUCUGCUACCACACUUGGUAACAUCCAGAGAAGCUCCAUGUGUCCAAAUGUCCUAGCUGCGGACACUCGGUUGGCCGCUUGGCUGGCGAACACUUACAUCUUGGAGCUUCCAGUGCAGCCCCACCUGGAUCCCACCCCUCUAAUCUGAAGACCCCAGUAAUGUCUAAGGAGAGAAAUAAAGACGACUUUUUUUUUUUUUUAAUCCCUAUCCCAACUGGAAUGGACUGGGAGAAGGAAACCUUGACCCUUGCUGCUCCGUCAGCUGUUGGGAGGCCCCAUGCUCAGGACUGGGAGCAUCGGGGCAGGACAGCUUCCGAAAGCUUUCACAGGAACACUCUAUUUUCGGAUAGCGGGGGGGAGCGUGUACUUGUUUGACUUCUGAGAUUCCUGGAUUCUUUUGGCCACAGGGUUGGUUCCCUUGAC